GCCUCCCGCCGAGGCCGGGGAGCUUCCCGCUGGCCCCGUGCGGCUGUCCGCGCGUUUGCCGGGUCCAGCGGGCGCUGCGUCUCUAGGCGGCGUGCGGAGAGGACGACCGCGGGUCGCUGGCCGCCGCCGCCUGCCCAGACCCCAGCCUGAGAGCGUCCUGCUCGGCUGCGGGGACUCCGCUCCCGUGUGUGUCUGAAGAACAGAAAAGCUCGUGCACACGGCGCAGAGCUCCUCUGCCUCGGCGCGGCCCUGCCCUCCGCACCCCGCGCGAUCGAUCGUCGUGUAACUCCAGGCGUGUGCGCAGCUCGUGCUGGGGAGCUCGGUGCGGUAGGGUGACUGUCUGUGCCCGGCACGACGGCACCCCCGAGCCUAGAACACUGCCUUGCGCGCGGUGGACGCUCGACAAAUCCUUGUAGGUUGUGUUUAGAACGUGUGUCCCGCUUCUGACAGAUGAGCAAACUGGAGCUGAGAGAGUUAAGCAACUUUCCUGAGGUCGCACUGCUCCGAAGUAAGCAGGGGUGCCGGAAGCUGAAUCCCAGCAGUCCAGCUCCAGGGCCGGGACAGCAGCCAUCGCCACCCUCUUUUCUCCCUGGGGAUUUUGUAGAGCAGCUUCCUGCACGUUCUCAGUGAGUCACCUUUGCGGCCUUCACUUCCAACCUUAAGGAAGCAGCACUAUUAUUAAGUGUGCAGCAAAUCUCUAAACUUCAGACCCAUGCAAAUGUUUGCACUCUAACCUAACCUGCUGACAGCCAGUAUGAAGACACAUCCUAGAUCACCGAGACAGCCCCAAAAGUGUGUAAAACCCCCAACCCCAGACCAUGGUGUACUGUCUCCUGGGCCUGCACUCUGCUCCUGAAUGUGCUCUUUUUUAAUUCUGCCCAGUGAGCCUUUCAAACCCUCUCACGGAUGGAUCACUUCCCUGUAACAGAAGUUACCUGCUCCACAUGUGGGGUAAAUUAUCCCCCUCUCCUCUUUGGGGGUCCUCCUCAGACCACAUCCGGUGAUAAGAGGAUCUGAAAGCAUCCCAGUCAAUCUCUAGUGUGUAAAGGCUAUCUUCCUACCUACUGCACUUUAUAUGUCCUUACACUCAAGCUGUAACAGAAAAUGCACCACCCCAACACCAGCCAGUGUGCUUCAGUGUCUUAGUUGCCCAGGUAACAGUUCCUGUUCCAGUUCCGGUUGCUCCUGUCUCUUAGGAACGGCUGGUCACUGGGAUGCACAGCUGGUGACUGUGAUGCACAUUGUGUAAACCGAUCCCCAUUGACAAGCCAUUCUGCCUCUGUGCUUCCUGCUUGCUUGUCCCA